UAAGGUGUAGUAUAAUAGAUUAUGCCUCAUUUACACUGAGGUGGUGGUAAGUUUUGCCCGUCUUAU
rnacentral:tRNA from 1 species